GAUGAACGCUGGCGGCGUGCCUAAUACAUGCAAGUCGAGCGAACAGACGAGGAGCUUGCUCCUCUGACGUUAGCGGCGGACGGGUGAGUAACACGUGGAUACCCUACCUAUAAGACUGGGAUAACUUCGGGAAACCGGAGCUAAUACCGGAUAAUAUAUUGAACCGCAUGGUUCAAUAGUGAAAGACGGUUUUGCGGUCACUUAUAGAUGGAUCCGCGCCGCAUUGGCUAGUUGGUAAGGUAACGGCUUACCAAGGCAACGAUGCGUAGCCGACCGGAGAGGGGGAUCGGCGACACUGGAACUGAGCCACGGUCCAGACUCCUACGGGAGGCAGCAGUAGGGAAUCUUCCGCAAUGGGCGAAAGCUUGACGGAGCAACGCCGCGUGAGUGAUGAAGGUCUUCGGAUCGUAAAACCCUGUUAUUAGGGAAGAACAAAUGUGUAAGUAACUAUGCACGUAUUGACGGUACCUAAUCAGAAAGCCACGGCUAACUACGUG
rnacentral:rRNA from 1 species